rnacentral:rRNA from 1 species
GACGAACGCUGGCGGCGUGCCUAAUACAUGCGAGUCGAGCGGACUUUCCGGAGUGCUUGCACUCCGGCAGGUUAGCGGCGGACGGGUGAGUAGCACGUAGGCAACCUGUCCAUUAGACCGGGAUACCAUUAGGAAACGAAAGCUAAUACCGGAUAGACGGACUUCUUGGAUGGGGGGAUCGGGAAAGGCGGAGCGAUGUGCCGCUCAUGGAUGAGCCUGCGGCGCAUGAGCUAGUUGGUGGGGUAACGGCCUACCAAGGCGACGAUGCGGAGGCGACCUGGGAGGGUGAUCGCCGACACUGGGGCUGAGACACCGACCAGACUCCUGAGGGAGGCAGCAGUAGGGAACCUUACGCAAUGGUCGCAAGUAUGACGGAGCAACGGCGCGUGAGUGACGGCGGCCUUGGGGUCGUAAAGCUCUGUUGCCAGGGAAGAACGGGUUGGGGAGGAACUGAACCUGGCGUGACGGUAACUGAGAAGGAAGCCCCGGCUAACUACGUG